rnacentral:misc_RNA from 1 species
GUAUUGUAUUGCGUUAAACGCGGCAUGCAUUCCAUGAGACUUUGUUACAGUGUGUGUGUAAAGACGCAGAACCACAGCAGGAGGGCAGGCCCCCUGGCCAUAGAACUACAGAGAGUGCACAGGGUGUGAGUGGAUGUGUGAACAGAGCGUGCACGUGCCCCCAUUCGAGGACCAGCAACAACUCUUGUUGACAAUUCAGUAAUGAUCCUUCCGCAGGUUCACCUACGGAAA